UGACCCCCCCACCCGCAUCCUUGUCCACCCCGGGGGGGGGGGGGGGCAGAUAUGACUUAGACCCUGCCCACUGAUGUUUUUGCCGAUAUUCACAGCGAUAUGGUCUCCCACGCCUGCUGCGCGCCGUUCACUGAAGGACCCCCCCAACCCCCCCACACACAGACUGCACACAGCCAGGAAGCUAUGCAGACAUUCUGGGAUGACAAGCAGCAAAGUCCACUUCAGGCCUUUGGAAUUACAGCUCUGUGUUGUUUUGCAAACAUUCAUUAUUCCAUGUCAGGCCAGCAGGGGAUUAAAGCACACGUGGGGGGGGGGUGUUCUCAGAGAAGCCUAGUAAGGAACGCUGUCCCUCCUUCUAAAUUCCCUUAGCAGGGCAUUAAACACUGGAAUAAUUAAAAAGCAACAAUGCAGUAUCUUAAUGGGCAGGACAGCUGGCUCACAACUUUGAAUUCUCCCUUUAGUUAUUGUCUGUGUAGUGUGUGCGUGUGUGUGUGUGUGUGUGUGUGUGUGUGUGUGUGUGUGUGUGUGUGUGUGUGUGUGUGUGUGUGUGUGUGUUCCUGUUCUCCUGGCACUGCUCUGCACGCUUUGUCCUGGGGCCUGGUCAGCCUCCUUCUCUGUGCAGUUUGCCAGCAGCCUUGGUGCUGCAUGUGCAUGUAAGCGUGUCAGCAAUAGGCGGCUGCAUGCUUGCCACCAGCAUGCUAUGGGCCUACCUGCAGCUGCUCUGGUCCCGUACCCCCCCCCCCACUGCCUCCCGGACGGACCUCAAUUGAGUGGAAAAAGCAGCCGUGGCUCACUCGGUCCUUUAAGGGGGGGUGAUUAAUUAUUGGUGCCAUUAGUAGCAUGGUGCCUGCAGGUGAAUGUGAAGUGAUCUGCUUUAAGGGAGUGUAAAAAAUAUAUUUAUAAAUAUUUCCAUAAUAAAAUGCUGUUAAAUAAGUAUGUUGAGUUUGGAGCAGAAUGAGUCAGUUGUCAGGAGAUGAACUCUCAGCUCAGACAUGAAAGCGUGGUUGUCAUGGGUAGAAGUACUGUGAAGAAUGUUCUGGUGGCUGUUUAUGUAGGUCAUUACAUAGAGACUGGAGGAGUGGGCAGGGGUGGCGAUGGUACUAGGUCUCAGGUAGCAGUGCCAGUUUCUGACUUGGAUCCAGGGUCGGGGAACUGCAGCUCUGCUGUUUGUGUCCGCAGUGCUGACUUGACGUAGAAUCUGCAGCUGUGCAGGGCGGAAUUGCGGCUCUGUAGGGCGGUAUUGCAGCUGUGCAGGGCGGAAUUGCAGCUGUGCAGGGCGG